CCCAAUUACUCUGUUAGGUCAAACAUGCAAAUCUGCAGUAAUUGCAUUACCUAACAGGCUGCUCUUUAGAACACAAUAGUUGGGGAUACAUAAAAUAUACAAUUACAUCUUACUACGUUUUGGUGACAGCUACGGCAAUUUCCUGCAAUAUCCUUGAAAAAUCCUAAUGAAUUAAGUCUUCCCUGAGGGAGGGGUGGAAAAGCCGAGAAGUGAAUUUUUCCAGGAUUUGCAAGAGGCAGUUUUUCACUCAGAUAGUGGCAGCGUUUACCAAACCAAGGUC